rnacentral:rRNA from 1 species
AUUGAACGCUGGCGGCCGGCCUAACACAUGCAAGUCGAACGAGGGGCGGACGGGUGAGUAAUGUCUGGGAAACUGCGUGAUGGAGGGGGAUAUCUACUGGAAACGGUAGCUAAUACCGCAUACUAUGGUAUGGGCCCAGAUGGGAUUAGCUAGUAGGUGGGGUAAAGGCUCACCUAGGCGACGAUCCCUAGCUGGUCUGAGAGGAUGACCAGCCACACUGGAACUGAUACACGGUCCAGACUCCUACGUGAGGCCGCAGUGGGGAAUAUUGCACAAUGGGCGCAAGCCUGAUGCAGCCAUGCCGCGUGUAUGAAGAAGGCCUUCGGGUUGUAAAGUACUUUCAGCGGGGAGGCGUUACCCGCAGAAGAAGCACCGGCUAACUCCGUGCCAGCAGCCGCGGUAAUAC